UUGUAUCCUGUUAAGGUUUUCACUACAGAUACAAGAGAAAAGUUUCCUGGAGCUUUCUGUCUGAGUAUGGCAGUCAAGAUUGAAUGAGGCAAUAUAGUA
ensembl:snoRNA